rnacentral:rRNA from 1 species
AGUGAACGCUGGCGGUAGGCCUAACACAUGCAAGUCGAACGGCAGCACAGGAGAGCUUGCUCUCUGGGUGGCGAGUGGCGGACGGGUGAGGAAUACAUCGGAAUCUACUCUGUCGUGGGGGAUAACGUAGGGAAACUUACGCUAAUACCGCAUACGACCUACGGGUGAAAGCAGGGGAUCUUCGGACCUUGCGCGAUUGCAUGAGCCGAUGUCGGAUUAGCUAGUUGGCGGGGUAAAGGCCCACCAAGGCGACGAUCCGUAGCUGGUCUGAGAGGAUGAUCAGCCACACUGGAACUGAGACACGGUCCAGACUCCUACGGGAGGAAGCAGUGGGGAAUAUUGGACAAUGGGCGCAAGCCUGAUCCAGCCAUACCGCGUGGGUGAAGAAGGCCUUCGGGUUGUAAAGCCCUUUUGUUGGGAAAGAAAUCCAGCUGGCUAAUACCCGGUUGGGAUGACGGUACCCAAAGAAUAAGCACCGGCUAACUUCGUGCCAGCCGCCGCCGUAA